rnacentral:rRNA from 1 species
AACGAACGCUGGCGGCAUGCCUAACACAUGCAAGUCGAACGAGACCUUCGGGUCUAGUGGCGCACGGGUGCGUAACGCGUGGGAACCUGCCCUUAGGUUCGGAAUAACUCCCCGAAAGGGGUGCUAAUACCGGAUAAUGUCUUCGGACCAAAGAUUUAUCGCCUUUGGAUGGGCCCGCGUUGGAUUAGCUAGUUGGUAGGGUAAAAGCCUACCAAGGCGACGAUCCAUAGCUGGUCUGUGAGGAUGAUCAGCCACACUGGGACUGAGACACGGCCCAGACUCCUACGGGAGGCAGCAGUGGGGAAUAUUGGACAAUGGGCGAAAGCCUGAUCCAGCAAUGCCGGGUGAGUGAUGAAGGCCUUAGGGUUGUAAAGCUCUUUUACCCGGGAUGAUAAUGACGGUACCGGGAGAAUAAGCUCCGGCUAACUCCGUG